rnacentral:rRNA from 1 species
AGUGAACGCUGGCGGUAGGCCUAACACAUGCAAGUCGAACGGCAGCACAGUAAGAGCUUGCUCUUACGGGUGGCGAGUGGCGGACGGGUGAGGAAUACAUCGGAAUCUACUUUUUCGUGGGGGAUAACGUAGGGAAACUUACGCUAAUACCGCAUACGACCUACGGGUGAAAGCAGGGGAUCUUCGGACCUUGCGCGAUUGAAUGAACCGAUGUCGGAUUAGCUAGUUGGCGGGGUAAAGGCCCACCAAGGCGACGAUCCGUAGCUGGUCUGAGAGGAUGAUCAGCCACACUGGAACUGAGACACGGUCCAGACUCCUACGGGAGGCAGCAGUGGGGAAUAUUGGACAAAGGGCGCAAGCCUGAUCCAGCCAUACCGCGUGGGUGAAGAAGGCCUUCGGGUUGUAAAGCCCUUUUGUUGGGAAAGAAAAGCAGCAGGUUAAUACCCCGCUGUUCUGACGGUACCCAAAGAAUAAGCACCGGCUAACUUCGUG